rnacentral:lncRNA from 1 species
AAAGAAUUUUGUAUACAGCGGAACAAAAACAUUUUGUUCAUUGGAGAUGAAGAGCCAGCCAGCAUUAAGAAAAAAAAAUAACUUUCCAUUUGAAAUACGGGAAGAGAAUCUACUGUUGUUAUGAGUGUGGAAAUAGACUAGUGAGUGUGAAUAUAAAUGACUGCAGAUAACUAAAGGAAUGCUUUCUUCUUAUUGUUGUCAUCCAUAUUCUCCUGUAGGCAUGAAGGAGGAGAGUUGUGGUUUCAGCGUCUGCAGUUUGUUCUUUUCUCCUUGAGUACAUGGCAGCCUUACCAUGGCCCUCCUGCACUACCAUUGAAUGUGAGCCACACUGUCCAUCUCAGGAAAUUCUCAACAGCACGGCAAGGUCUUCCUGCACAGUGAUUCCUGAGGAUGCCCAAAAGAAGUAGGCAGGUCUCUAUAGUUGAUGUGCGUGAACUAAAUGCAAGGUGUUUAACCUACUCUUCAUCUUUACUUGCUACCCGUGAAUGAAAUUCAACUCUGCAGAUUACUCAGGUUACAGCAGGAAGGCCAGGUUUUGUACUUUAAGUAGAAAUCUUUAUAGUCACUGUGUUGUGUCUUGAUUCCUCUACACAUUACAAAGUUUUGCAUGGUAUUACUAUUUUAGAGUGAAGUGUAGCUUAACAAUUUAACACCAUAAUGAACUUUGCAGUAUGAGCAUAAGAAGAAUUUAUCUGUAAUGUUCUGACUAAAAUAAGCUUCUAAUAGAAUGCGUAGUAUAUCUUUUAGUCACCUCUUAGUCCAACCCAGUGCCCCUUUUUCUGCUGAGCUCUGCACACACCACCAUAGCUGUAGAAUAUUAGCCCCCAGGUACCACUAGCCUUGUCUUAUUAUUAUUAGGCCCACUCCACUUCCACAAUUUCCUCCCCAUUAGAGCACUCUACCCCAUCUAUGUUCUGAAAAAUCCAACUGAGUAGCAACAGGAUGUGUUUGCCAGCCCAGAGUAUGGUAGAGCUGCUUAUAUCUUCUCAUUAAUUUUCUCUACUUUUGAUCUGUAUUAACGUAAUUGUAAUAAUUGUAAUGUAAUUACAACUACCAUAUAAUUGUCCAAAUCCUCCAAAACUCAGUC